rnacentral:lncRNA from 1 species
AUGGACCCAGAUGGUGGAGUAGGAGGAGGCAGCAAUGCAGAGGGAGGAGGCGGGGCGGGCCCCUUCGCCCUACACCCAGGGGAGGGCAGGAGAACCGGGCAGGAGCCGGGCCAGCGCGGGUGGCCGGAAGACUCCAGGGGUUCCCAGGCCACGCCCCGCUGGGUUGGGGAAGGCGAGGGGCCCAACAGCACCCCGCCGGCGAAGGGCCUGACCCCGUCCUCCGAAGGCCAAGAGGGCCGAGGCUCCACCACCAAGAUGAGGCGGGAGCAGCUCCGCCCAGCGGAGCCCCUGGGACCAGAGAGCUCCUGGCGGCGGCCUCGCUGCCAGUCCCGGCCCGGCCCCAGUCACCCUCGCUGCCCGCCCGGCCCCAGCCACCCUCGCUGCCCGCCCGGCCCCGGCCACCCUCGCUGCCCGCCCGGCCCGGGCCCCUGGCAGCCAGGCCCUAGAGCCCCGCGCGCUCCGCCUCGGCUGUCGUGUGCCCCGGUGACCACCAGAUGCCGACAGAGGUCCUGGCAGGACACCGCGCCUCCCCCAGGGCCCUGGGUCCAGUUUGUCCUCUUGGGACGCGGCAAAUCGGCGACCAGGACCAAUACCUUGCCCUCGCCUCCCCCACUCGCCUUUGAUGAGCGGAGGCUGAAAACCACCCGCUCGCACCUGGGCCCUGCUGCCUUUCCAACCGUCUCCCCGCCCGCACCACGCAGCCUCGGUGAACCUUUGCAGGCAGCCCUGCGUGGCGCAGGAGCUGUGCGUGGGCUGGCUCUGGCUGUCCCCGCGGUCCCCAUGCCUACCUCCCGUCUCCCCGUGCGUUUGGGGGCUGGGGGUCCAGGUUCUCUGACACCAGCGACUCGGAGUUCUGUAGAUUCGGCUAAGGGAGGUCGUGGGUCACAUCAGAGCGGCUGUGUGACUUAGAGCUCGUUGCUUAACCUCUCUGUGCCUAGAUAGCCUCAGAUGUGAAGUAAGGGUUGCAAUACUCCUUACUUCAUGGAGGUAUUGUGAGAACAAAACGAACCAUUGUUUCUGGAACACUCUUGAGAGUGCCAGCCGCAUAUUAAGUUCCCAGUGUAUGUCAGCCCUCCUAAUCUGUCUCCUGGACACUCAUAGUGAGGCCCGAAUAACUGUCUAUUUGUCUUGACUUUUCCAUCUGGAGCACCUUGUUUUCAAUUAUCAGUUCUGCCCCUGGCUUCAUCAAUUGCUUCUGGUAGUUGCUGACUAUGUUUUUAAAAUUAUUUUAAUUCCCAAAAAUUUUGUACCUCUAUUGUGUAAAAUGUUUUUAAAUAGGCAUACACUGAAGAAUGGCUAAUUGAGCUAAUUAAACUAUGUGUUAUCUCAUACUUAUCUUUUUAUACUUAUCAUAAGAGAGGAUACUAAACAUUUACUCUUCAUAAUAUUCUAGGAAUAUGACACAUUAUUAACGUGUCAAAUGUUGUAAAAUAGAUCUCUGGAACUUGUUCCAUCUAUCUAACUGACAUUCUGUAUCUUUUGACCAACGUCUGCCAACUACCCCCAUCGCACCCCCGCUCCCCGUAAUCACUAUUCUACUCUCUGCUUAUCUAAGUUCACCUUUUUAAGAUUCUACAUAUAGGUGAGAUUACGCAGUAUUUAUCUUUCUGUGCAGUGUUUACCUUUCUGUGCCUGGCUUAUUUCACUUAGCAUAAUGUCCUCCAGGUCCAUCUAUGUUGUCACAAAUGUCAGGAUUUCCUUCCUUUUAAAGACUGAGUAGUAUUCCAUUGUGUGUGUUUAUGGCACUUUUUUAAACUAUUCAUUCAGUGAUGGAUACUUCCAUUGUGUCCCUAUCUUGGCUGUUGAGACUAAUGCUGCAGUGAACAUGGGAUUGCAGAUAUUUUUCCAACACACUGCCUGUAUUUACUUUGGAAAUAAGUCCAGAAGUGGACUGCUGGAUCCUGUGGUAGCUCCGUGUUUCGUUUUUGGAGGAACCUCGAUGCCAUUUCCCAUCAUGGCUGUACCAAAUUGCAUUUGCAUCAACCAUGUACAAGGUUUCUCUUUUUUCCACACCAUUGCUAACACUUGGUGUCUUUUGGCUUUUUAUAACAGCUAUUCUAACAAGUACAAGGCGAUAUCUUAUUGUGGUUUUAAUAGGCAUUUCCCAGGUGAUUGGUGAUGAUGGGAACCUUUUCAUAUACCUGUUGGCUAUUUGCAUUUCUUCUUUGGGAAAGCAUCCAUUGAGGUUGUAUGCUUAUUUUUAAAUUGGGUUGUUUGUUUUCUUGCUAUUGUGCUCUUUGAGUUCCUUUUAUAAUUUUAUAUUAAUCCCUUAUCAUAUGUAUGACUUGCAAAUAUUUUCUCUCACUCUGUAGGUCAUCCCUUCACCCUGUUGAUUGUUUGGCUGCACAGAAGCUUUCUUAGUUUGAUAUAGUCCCAUUUAUCUGGUUUUCCUUUUACUAAACAUUGCCCUGAGCAACGUAAAGAAGAUUUUCCCCUAUGGUUUCUUCUUGCGGUUUUACAAUCUCAGGUCUUACCUUUAAGUCUUUAAGCCAUUUUGGGUUGAUUCUUGUACAUGGUAAGAAAAGUGGAGGAGGGGCAUCUGGAUUCAUUCUUGGGCUUGUGGACAUCCAAUUUUCCCAGCAUCAUUUAUUGAAGAAACUGUCCUUUCUUCUGUGUAACACGUGUUCCUGACAUCAUUUUGAUCCUAGUUUUCUACAAACCCUUGAUGUUACUGCUGUCACCCUCUGGACUGAGGCGGGCCUGAAAGUGUAUUACUAGAGUCCCAAUGUUCUCUGAGAACACAUGAGAGAAAGUAGGAAAUUCUUCCUCCACCCACAAGUAACACUGACCGCGUGCUAAAAAUAUUUGACCUUGGGAGCACAGCUUCGGGCCAUGCAGACAAUGCUGCUCUGGGGACACUAGUUGAGCUUCCACCCCACCUAUCCAGUGUUCUACCUACUCAAGUACACCAUUGUGUUUGACGAAGGACUCACACAGUUCCCAUAUUCCCCCCUUCAACGCCCUUUCUACCCUCAAAUUCAGGAAUGUCCUAAAUGCUCCAUAUGCUGACUGUGUUAACCUGUUCACUGUUCUAUUUGAACUACAGCUAGAAGAAGUGAAAAUGAAGGCAGUUCCAUAUGGGCUCAGCUUUCAAUGUGAACAAAUCUUCCUCCAAGGGCCAGCCUGCAAGCCUUUGGCGAGCCUACUAAAGUAGCAGUUAUCAGCUCUGUUGCCUGACAAAAUGGAUGUGUCCAUACUCUCUUGAUAAUAAAUUAGGUGUGACGUUUGAUAAUAGAACCA